GUGCUUUGCUUUGGUAACACAGAUACUAAAAUUGGAACAAUACAGAGAAGAUUAGCACGGCCCCUGCGCAAACAUGUCGCACAAAUGGGUGAAGUGUUCCAUAUUUUU
ensembl:snRNA U6 U6 spliceosomal RNA